rnacentral:rRNA from 1 species
UACGUAGGGGGCAAGCGUUGUCCGGAUUUAUUGGGCGUAAAGCGCACGCAGGCGGUCGGCUGCGUCCCUCGUGACAUCUCCUCGCUUAACGAGGAGCCAUCGGCGGGAAACGAGCCGACUUGAGGACUUGAGAGGAAGACGGAAUUCCGGGUGGAGCGGUGAAAUGCGUAGAGAUCCGGAGGAACAUCAAUGGCGAAGGCAGUCUUCUGGCAAGUGCCUGACGCUCAGGUGCGAAAGCUCGGGGA